AAUGAACGUUGGCGGCAUGGAUUAGGCAUGCAAGUCGAGCGAGAAGGAAAUCAAAGUUUACUUUGGUUUCCGGAAAGCGGCGAAAGGGAGAGUAACGCGUAGUUAUCUACCCCAAGGCCCGGAAUAGCUGCGGGAAACUGCAGGUAAUGCCGGAUAAUAUCCCCGGAUCAAAGGUGUGAUUCCGCCUUGGGAGGAGACUGCGUUGUACUAGCUUGUUGGUAGGGUAAUGGCCUACCAAGGCUACGAGGCAUAGCGGGCGUGAGAGCGUGGCCCGUCCAACUGGGACUGAAACACUGCCCAGACACCUACGGGUGGCUGCAGUCGGGAAUCUUCGGCAAUGGGCGAAAGCCUGACCGAGCGAUGCCGCGUGCGGGAUGAAGGCCCUCGGGUUGUAAACCGCUGUCGUAGGGGAGAAAGGACCGUUGAAGAGACGGUUUUGAUCUAUCCUAGGAGGAAGUCCGGGCUAAGUUCGUGCCAGCCGCCGCAGUAAAAC
rnacentral:rRNA from 1 species